GACACUAAUAUUCCACUAGGUCAGAUGUCUUUCCUGAUGACUGACACUCAGUGAAGUGUAAUGGUCAAUUAUUAUUGAUAUUAUCCGAGUAAUGUAUGGGCAUCAAACCCUCUUACUUGGCCUUGGAAGCACCAUGAUUCAACUCAUCAGUAUACCCUGGUGCUCAGGCUGAGCAGAGGAGUAAGCUCUGAAGUCGUUCUCAAGGAAUUCUUAAAACAUUGUGGGUGACACAUACUGUCUGUGUAUUAGAGACACAAGUGAUCUUUAUAUAUAUAUAUAAUAAUUAAUUCCUUUUUUCCUCUGCAUGUCAAUGCUGUUGUUCCUUAAUAAGUACAUUUAGAACUUUUAUGAAUUUAUAAUAACAUGUCAAUGUAAGCUACUUCUUUUGAAAAAUUUAAAGAUCAACUGUUUUGUUUCUACAAGGCCACUACUGUGUGAGUCAAAAUAAAUAUACCUCUGAAAAGCAAUUUUCAUGAAAAUUAGCAAGUGUUGCGCUUGUUGUCCCUUUCUGUAGUCACUGUGCAGGUUAUCAAGGCGUUCAUCUCACAAGUGGAAAGAAGCAGUAGCCGUCCAGUACUUGGCAGAUGCAGGAAAUUAAAUUUUAUAGCGGUCUAGUACAUCUAGUGCAUUCAUAUUUAGCUUAUCUUGUGCUAUGAGAAACACUAAUGCAUGCAAGUGAAGUUAGUCAGCUGUGGUGGUCAAAUCUGCUCCCUACUGAUUCUUUGAAUUUCAAAUGCAUUUUCUGGACUUGACACUUGCCUGCUAGUGUCCUGGGUUAGCCAUGAGGGAGGCAAAGAGAUAGCAUAGAGUGAGGAAUGCUGCCAGGAGGUCAUAAAGGUAGUCUGUGCUGGGGUCUGGCUGUGCUAGUCACAGUCUUUAGUUGGACAGAAUAUUCGCCAUCAGAUCUAUCACACUUGCAUCAUUAUCUAUCACAUGGAGUAUUCAGUUGUUACGAUGGUUUUUAAUUUUGAGGUUCGUUUUGGGAAUUACUAUAGAAUACUUUUGACACAUUGUAAAUACUGGAUAUUUUCAUUAGAAGAAUAUGUGUGGAGGAGAAAAGAAAGUGGAAAUGUCUGAAACAAUUAAAGUGAUGAGACAAAAAAG
rnacentral:lncRNA from 1 species